rnacentral:rRNA from 1 species
AUGAACGCUGGCGGCGUGCAUAACACAUUCAAGUCGAACGGAACUCAAUCAAUUAAUCCUUCGGGGCGAUUCGGGGAAGCUUAGCGGCGGACGGGUGAGUAACGCGUGAGUAACCUGCCCAUGAGAGGGGAAUAACACACCGAAAGGUGUGCUAAUACCGCAUAACGUAUCUUUGCCGCAUGACAGAGAUAUCAAAGAUUUAUCGCUCAUGGAUGGACUCGCGUCUGAUUAGAUAGUUGGUGAGGUAACGGCUCACCAAGUCGACGAUCAGUAGCCGAACUGAGAGGUUGAUCGGCCACAUUGGGACUGAGACACGGCCCAGACUCCUACGGGAGGCAGCAGUGGGGAAUAUUGCGCAAUGGGGGCAACCCUGACGCAGCAACGCCGCGUGAAGGAUGAAGGUCUUCGGAUUGUAAACUUUUGUUCUGAGGGACGAAAAAGGACGGUACCUCAGGAGGAAGCCACGGCUAACUACGUG